UGGGGAAUAUUGGACAAUGGGCGAAAGCCUGAUCCAGCCAUGCCGCGUGUGUGAAGAAGGUCUUCGGAUUGUAAAGCACUUUAAGUUGGGAGGAAGGGCAGUAAGCGAAUACCUUGCUGUUUUGACGUUACCGACAGAAUAAGCACCGGCUAACUCUGUGCCAGCAGCCGCGGUAAGACAGAGGGUGCAAGCGUUAAUCGGAAUUACUGGGCGUAAAGUGCGCGUAGGUGGUUCGUUAAGUUGAAUGUGAAAGCCCCGGGCUCAACCUGGGAAAUGCAUACAAAACUGGCGAGCUAGAGUAGGGCAGAGGGUGGUGGAAUUUCCUGUGUAGCGGUGAAAUGCGUAGAUAUAGGAAGGAAAACAAGUGGCGAAGGCGACCACCUGGGCUCAUACUGACACUGAGGUGCGAAAGCGUGGGGAGCAAACAGG
rnacentral:rRNA from 1 species